GCUGGUGUGGCUCAGUGGUGAGAGCAUUGGCCUUCAAACCAAAGGGUCUCGGGUUUGAUUCCAGUCAAGGGCA
rfam:Myotis brandtii contig274293, whole genome shotgun sequence.